rnacentral:rRNA from 1 species
AACGAACGCUGGCGGCAUGCCUAACACAUGCCAGUCGAACGAGACCUUCGGGUCUAGUGGCGCACGGGUGCGUAACGCGUGGGAACCUGCCCUUAGGUUCGGAAUAACUCCCCGAAAGGGGUGCUAAUACCGGAUAAUGUCUUCGGACCAAAGAUUUAUCGCCUUUGGAUGGGCCCGCGUUGGAUUAGCUAGUUGGUAGGGUAAAAGCCUACCAAGGCGACGAUCCAUAGCUGGUCUGAGAGGAUGAUCAGCCACACUGGGACUGAGACACGGCCCAGACUCCUACGGGAGGCAGCAGUGGGGAAUAUUGGACAAUGGGCGAAAGCCUGAUGCAGCAAUGCCGCGUGAGUGAUGAAGGCCUUAGGGUUGUAAAGCUCUUUUACCCGGGAUGAUAAUGACAGUACCGGGAGAAUAAGCUCCGGCUAACUCCGUG